GAACACAAAAUAAGUUAUAGUACAUUACAAAAAAUUCCAAGCCUACAGAGGCUGCAUUUAAAAUGUACAAAUACAUGCUCCUGAUAUUUCUUAAUCUUGGGAUACACAGUCAUUUUGUUCCUCUGAAGAUAACAACAUCUCACACGCCACACAAUGUCUCUGCAGUAGUGAAGGAAAUUGUUAGUUUACUUAAUGAGACCCAUGAGAAUACCACGGUAAGUCAAUUUCAGUUUUUUUUUCUGAACAAUUUCUUUUUGUGAUAAUUUUAAACUUGAAACUGACUGAUUUCUUUCAUUUUUAGGAAUUUUUUACUACACCAACAAAUAUCAGGUGUCCAACAUGUUCACAUAAAUACGCAAAUGAAUUUAUUCAUGAACUGCACAAAAUAAAGAAGGACGAUAACGUAUCGAGAAUUGAAGUAGAUAUGAAACACCUGAAAGAGAUUUGCCCAUUUCUAGAAAAAUCCCCAGUCAAUCAUUUGUCCUGCGAGUCAGAAGCAAGAAAUUUUAAUGAUUUUAAAAAUCAUUUAAAGAAUUUUGUGCGUUGGAUCAACGAGCAAAACAUAUGCAACAAAAUGGACAAAGUAGACAAAUGUCUCCAAAAUAUUACUGUGCUGAAGAACUACUGAAAUCAUCACUUUGUAAGAAAAGAAUCACAUUUGUAGUCAGGAUAUUGCCAGGGAAGAGAAGAAAAAAGAAAAAAAAAGUUAUUUCUAAUUGGAGUUCGCACUGAGCAUUAAGCAUGGAAAGGAAAAGAAGAAAACAGACAUUCCAUAUGUAGCAAUCAAAAUGUUAUAGAAGAAAGGAGAUU
rnacentral:lncRNA from 1 species